rnacentral:lncRNA from 1 species
CCAUUAUCUUGUAAAAGUGAUUAUUUACUAUUACUAUAUAUGGUUGUUUCUUUAUAAUCGGUAUAUUAUUUUAAAUUUUUGUUUGAUUUUGAUUUUCAAAUUCGAGGGCCUCUAGAAUUUAUUUUUUAUUUCAAAAAUACUAGGGCCUCUAAAAUGCCGGAGACGACCAUGGUCAAUAGUAAUGCAUAUAAAAAAUGAAUGUUCCAAUAAUAUAAAAAUAUAAGAUAGCCCCAACAAUAUCUCAAUCAACAUAAUGUGUAUACAUGGAAAUAGUCAGCCCUAAACCCAAAGAUGAAUAAAAACAAGGUAUAAUAUACAGGCUGAUCUCUGUUAGUAGAAAGUUUCAUUUAACAUUUUUUCUGGACGCUUACAUGAAAAAUAAUAAAAUCUGAAAAACUACAUAUGUUAUGUGAAGUUUGACAAGAGAUUAGGCAAAGAUUAAACAACUAAAAAAAGAAGAUAUGGUACAUCCCACAAUGCGUAAUCUCACUUUUCUGUGUAUUAUUCGUUAGCUUAUUUUUUACUACUACACAGCUCAACAAUCAGCUCAGAAAUCCAGCCAGGAAGCUAAAAUAGGCCCAUUUCUACUGAUUGUUGAAUUCCGUAGGUUUUUUUAGAGUCUGAUGCGGAGCAUUCUAGUUCUGCAAUUGAUCUCAUCUCUUUUUCCUCUCGGAUUAGGGGCAGCCAAAAUAGGCCAACAUCUACUAAUUGUUGCAGUGUGGAUGAACUGUGGCAGUUUGACGUCAUGCCUUCCAUAUUUGAGAAGUAAGGGUAUCGAACAAGCACUAAGAACAAUCUCUUAGCACUUAUAACAGCUAGAAAAACCUUAUAGUGGAUUAGGCAACUUGGAAGGAUAGUGGAACACACUCUGACUCUACAUAUUCAUUAAAUUGUUUGGGCUCGAGGGGUGAUGAUAGUCAGCGGCAAGAACCUAGUAAUCAUAACUAGUUACUUCUGUAAAUUGGCAAAUGUAUAAUCAUCUGCAUCUCAUGGCUUAUCUACCUAUUUUAAGGUAUUCUCAUUUCAGUUAAAAAUACCAUACUAUAUUAAAGAGAAGAUAAGUAUGCCAUCACUAUUUCUCAUGGUGUAAAUUUUGUUGAAAUUAAUGAUUACUUUACUGGAGACCACCAUGAAGGAUGUAUAGUGUAAAAUUAAGAUGAACCUAUACUAGUGGCUCAUCUCCAUUUCACUUCUUUAUUACUAAUAUGCUCCCACCAAUUAUUUUAUUGCAAGCCAGCCUAUGCGAACCUUUGUGAAUGUGAUAACUUAUUAGAUAAUGUUACCUUCAAUGCAAGCUUUGUCAUAACAUACAUUACGAGUGGAAUUUGGCGUUGAGAGUUUGUUUUAAUUCUUUAUCAUGUCUAUUAUUACUGUUAUCUAAUUAUGGCUGCGUGAAGUUGGCAUAGUAUUACAAUUCUACUUGCGCAUGAAUUGGAGUUACAGUUUUAUAGCUUUGUAAGGAAACUAACCGGUCUAGGUCCUGUUUAUGGUAGUAGUUUAUUUUAUCAAUAUGCUUUUAGUAACAAGUCUCUAACCUGAGUGAAAUUAUCACUUUGUUGUAUUUGUGAAUUAAGGANUAUAUAUAUAUAUAUAUAUAUAUAUAUAUAUAUAUUCACUGGAAUUUCAUUUGCUGUAUGCAGCAUGAGUUGCUUCGUAUCCUGUAUCCUGUUUUUGUCCAUUGCUUCAUGGAUCUUGUGGCGAAGGGUCAUAUUCAAGAAGGUACAUUUUUUGUCGUCAUAUUAUAUGUAUUUUGCAUCCUAGCUUUGAAUGUGUUGAAGGAACCUACUUUUUGCUUUGCCUCUGACUUUCCUUGUAAUUACUGUUCUUUUUUUUUUCCAGCUCGGGCCUUCUUUAAUAAAUUCCGCGAGGAUCAUGAAAUGAUGCAUCUACGUGACCUCCAAAAGUUGGAAGGCGUUCUGUCACCUUCUCAUCUGGAGGUUGCUUGCUUAUUAAGACUAUUUCUGUAUUGUUGUGGAUGAUUUCAGUUGUAUAUUUAGUCUAUACUACAAUGCAGGAGAUGGAAUUUGCUCAUUCUUUGAGGCAGAGUAAAGUGAACAUAAAGAUAUGUCAGGUAACUUGGUUCCCCAUGUUAAUUAAUUCAAUAUGAUGUACUGUUAAUUUUUUUUAUUUGCUGAUACUAUGUCAAAUAUGUCAUGGUAUCUGCAUUUUACAUCAUGACUGUACAAACAAAUUUUAGUAAACUAUUCUGGCUCAUGUUAUUCCCCCUUCAAAUUGCAAAGUAAUUUUUGGAAUCUUAUAUCAAACAUUAGCCUUAAAGUACUACAAAAUAUUUUUUAUUGCAGAAAAAAAAAACAGACUUUAAAUAUGUAACAAUUUAACAACAAUUUAGGUGGAACAUUUUAUAAACAAUAAUACUAAAUCAUGUUUGGUAAAAAUGUUUAAUAUUAAAUGAUAAGUUACUCCCUCUUCUUUUUUUUAUAACAAUUGAGGUUUGACUUUUUGGCACCCUUAAAGAGCAUUUACGCCAUAGUUAAGAUUUUUAUUUUUAAAAUUCUCUUUCUCUGAAUAAAAAUACAGGAUUAAAACUUUAGUUAAAAAAAUUCGAAAAUAAUUAAUCUAAUCACGUGGUCAAUGUUUUUAAAAGUGUGCGUCAAAUAGUCAAACGUCAAUUAUUUGAAAAAAGAGGGAGUAUUAUUUUUGCAUCCAUUCUUUAUUUGUAAUAUUAUAUUUAACUAGCUAAUUAAAUAUGAAAAAUCUUUUGUUCUUAGUGUUAUACUAUAAUUUAUAAAAUUACAUUAUGAUUGGAGGGUGUAAAUGCUCUGGGGUAGUAGUUGAAGAGAAUAUGGGUGUGAUUGUACUUUGUAAAGGUGAAUGGUUUUAUGGUUUUGACUACUGAGAAAAAGGUGUGGCUAUGGAUGCAUUAUGACAAUUUUCCCCUUUAUCAUAUUGUUGAUAAGUGAUCCUUAAAAUAAAAAAAAAAUUGUGGACAUUAUAUGAUUGUCAAGUGCAAUUCUUUUGGUGUCCUUGAAGUGUUUUGUGCUAUUUACAUAUUUUUCCAACUGAAAACACUAACAUGUUCUAUUAUUCUUGAUAUGUACUCUUUUAUGGGUCUUUUUUUUGGGAAUUUCCUUCUUCUUUUUUGUUAUUUUUGUGUACUGGAAAAACACUAACAUUAAUGAACUUGUAUUUCUGUAUGAGGAAAGCCAAAAACGUCUGGUUAACUGACUGAUAGUAAACGUCUGGUUAACUGACUGAAAUCUGUUGGACAUUAAAAACUGAUACCAUUUUAUUGUAAUAUCAUAUUAGAAUAUUCUGGAUAUUGUCUAUUUCAUCUGAAAAAUUUUUAUAUUAAAAACUCUUCAAUUUUUUUAAUCUUUUACUAUUAUAUAAAACGUACGAGACGUUAUGUUACUCAUGAUCCAGAAAUAUAAGAAUAUACUAUAUCUUCUCCUCUUUGUUUUUUUCCCUUCACACCAUAAUUCACAUUAUAGGAAGGGAAUAUAUUUAAAAAGAGUCAUUAAAUUGCUUUAUAAAAUUGAGUAAAAUAAAUUUUGAGAUGUUAUUGUGUAGGUCCGUAGGAUCAAACUUAGAAUCUAAGAAUGUGGAAUUAAAUUAGGCUUGGAUUGUUAACAAGGAGAAUGGAGGUCAGGUUUUUCCUGAUUCAGGUGGCUUGUAUUUUUAUUUCCUUAUAACACUAAACGGUCAUGUUAGUGUUUUGAAUUUCGGGCUCUAUAGUUGGCCAUGUUAAAAGUAAAUAAUGUGCAUAAGUAGACAAUACUUACAUUUUUUUUUUUUGAAAAAUACUCGGAAUAAAUAUGACAAAAUGGUAUCCGAAUGGGUUGUUAUCGAGUUAAGUAUCUUGAUAUCAAUGUUGUAUCCGGGGUUUUGUUCAAAAUUUUAAAUUCUGAUUCAGGGAUUAGAAGAUGAAUUUAUGUUAUACAGGUGGCAGUAGUUAAGCUUCACACUUGGUAAGACCAAACAGUAACAUGUGGACUAUUUCCCGUUUCAAAAAUGAUCCCUAAAUCCCAAUAUCCUUCUGGCAAAUUAAGUUUUGUUUUCAGUAGCUUUGAGGCUGUUUUCAGUCUUGCCUUGACGAAUCAUUUGUAGGUUUAAAGCCUCAAUUAGGAAUUAUUUAUCUUCAGCUUCAGAGUUAUUUUUACCACUUCACUGGCACUUUUUACCACUGUCAAUCUGUCACAGAAUAAAUGUCCUUUAAUUUGGAUCUCAGAAUAAACAUCUUCUUUCCAUUAUUGGCAGUACACUUGCUAGUAAAUAUAGGACAACCCUGAAGUAUUAAAUAAAUGCUACAUGGGUCAUUAAUAAAUAAAUAAAAAAGCUUAUGAUACUUAUGUGCUUGGAAACUGAUACUAUUGAUUCAUUGUCUCCUUUUUCUUUUGUUGCUUGACUGUACAUAUUAUGGUUAAAUGACAAACACUUUUUAUGAAUAAAAGUGGAGAUUAAUGAUUUUCCAAUUAAUAUGUUGAAAGAGUAGAUAUAUAAUUCUGGGAAUAAAACUUUGAAUCAGUAAAUAUUUUUUUGUAAAUAUAUGAUUGUAUAUGCAUGUAUAACUGGGGAAAAAAGCUUUUUAAGAGUUGAACUGUGGAGAUAUGAAACUUUGGAUUCUGAUAGCACCACAGCAGAUGCUUUUUCCGCUUAAGACUGUUGGAGAUUAGGGUUUUACGGCUGUUUUGUUUGUACAUGAUGUGUUUUCUUUAUGGAAGUAUGGACUGGACCAGGGAAGAAAUGGGUAGGGCUAGAUAUAACCAGAAUUAGACAGAUUUAGGUGCUGCCUACCCAGGCGGGGAGGACAUUGCCCAUUUUUCAUCCCCUUUCUGCCUAGGCGACACCUNAUUUGUCUUAUUGCCGUAAGCUAAAAUAACUGCCAAGUAAUGUGUGGAAUGGUGCAUCACUUGAAAAAUUAAUUCUUCCCCGAGAGGGGCGAUGGAAGAAAGCUGUCAAAUAACUUAAACAGAGCGAGUGAAAUAUGUACACGCAUAGAGUUUAGUUUUAGUGAUCAAUUUUGUUUGAAUCUGAUUACUAUUUUAUAGUUGCUUUUACUACUUUGGUUAUCAUUGUCUUUGCUUGCUUUAUUGUUUUCUUAUUUAAGUUUUUAGGUACUAGAUGAUUGUGUUGCUGACUGAUGUUUUUUUACAAAUGGAUGUGUAUCAGCUUUUGUAUAAGCAAAAAGCUGAAGCCUGAUUCGUAUCACUUAUUUUUUCCCUUCAAUUGUUAUCAGUACUCUUACGAUCUGAUGAUGCAAUAUCUACACAAGUCACAAUCCAUUACUAUGCUUGGAAUUAUAAAUGAGCAUAUCAACUUCCAAGGUAUAACCUUUAACUUAAUUAACCACUUGUACUGUAUAGUUCUGUUCAAAAUGAUUUAACAGUUUACUCAUUUCCCUGAAAUUGGUUUGAUCAUAGUUAUUUGAACUGAUGUAUUUUAUGAUGUAUGUGCUGACAGUAUCUCCUGGACAGCCAAUCUCGCUAUCUGAUGAUACUGAAGUUGUCACGCUAGUUGGAAGUGGCCAAGAUACUGCUAAUCUAAUAAACCAGAAAGAAAUACAUUGGGGUGUAAGUUAGUCUAAAGAUUUAUCGUUAUAUCAGCAGUUUCUGUGUUGUAUUCUAUUAUUAUUUGUAUUCUCUCUGUAUAAGUGGGGAAAUUUUAGUACAGUAUUACACCUGAACGCAAGUGGAAGCACAAAUGUAGUUUCCUGCAGACACCUGUGAAACACCACCCAGAUUCUGAAGGUCAAAUCGAUAAUUUCCUAGGCAUAAUUCCUUCAUUUUAUGGUGGAUGACAGAACAACUGCUACAUCCUAAACUUAAUUUCAGAGCUUAGCCUUAGCACAAUGAAAAAAUGAUGAAAGUCAGUUAAACAUCUUGAUAAAAAAAACUGCUACAUCCUAAAGUUAUAUUUUUUUUAGAAAACUUCUAUCUUGCGCCUGGAGAAGAACAAAGUUGGUUCUUCAGAAUAAUUGUGUCUUCAUGUUGGGGUGGAUGCUUAUCAUAGGGGAUUUUUUCUUCAGAAAGAAGAUUUAUCUGCACAUAACAUCAAGAUUCUUAGUUGAAUUCGUGAUUAUGCACCGGAAUGCAUAAAUUAUUACAUAUGUUAAUAUAUAUGAAGUUAUGAGACGUACUCAAUGCACCACCUAUAGACAUACCCGCACCUGUCAGUUCAUGUAAUAUGGGUAAGUUGCAUUCUCUAUCUGUUGCUGUGUGCUUGAAAUCCAUGUACAUCUCAAAUAUAUUCUUACAACAUGGCACUAAUGUAAAAACAUCUGUUAGCCUCUGGCUUAAACAAUAAUUAUCUCCUGCAAUACCAAUCAUUUCUUCUUUUUCUUUCCUUUAACACUUCCCUGACCAUUUAUGAUGUGACAGUUGCUUGAGGAUUCUGUAGAAGAACGAUUGGAAAAGACUCUGCUUUCUGAUACAGAAAAGGCAGAAGGAGAAACAAAAGAAGGGGAAUCCGAAGAGAAUAAGGUACCAAAUUUACUUAUACCGGUGCAAUGUUAUUGGGAUGAUAAAGUCACAUAUUAUAUCUAGUAGUAUUGUGGUUGUCAUAUUACCAGUGUUGUCACAGUCCCGCCCACUCCCCCCAUCGGUUAAAGGCUCAUCACAGCAGAGGUUUUCUUUCUUGUCUUGUGAGGCAAUCUUUUAUAAGACUUGUGUGCCUCAGGGUCAAGAGUCCCAUAGUAGGCGCACGUCUCAAUGAAUUGUCCUAAUUAUCUUGUUGAAAGAAAUUGAGAAAAACACAUCUAUUUUAAAACCCAAACAUUACAAAUUCAGCCUGAAGGUGAAUAAGAAAGACUGAGACGUGUAAUCAAUUGAUUUUAAACUAUAUAAUCCACUGUUUUGGAUUCUUCAUGCGUAAGGGAAAUAUCAAAUAUGUAUUGAUAUAAAUAUGUUUAAUAUGCUGAGCUACUACAAUUUAGAAGACUUGUUCUCAUAUUGAUGUUUAUCUUACUUUAUGAUCAGAAAAGGUCAAUUGAGGGAGGAAAGCAAGGUACAUCUCUUAAAAAACUGAAAAAAGACAAAGUCGUCAGUGCAGCAGCAAAAGCUGCCAAGACUGAGGGAAAUGUGUCUGCCGCUCCACGUGUCAAACCAGAGCUUUCUUUGCCAGUGAUGUAUUUUCCAAACCUUCUCUUUUAAUUUCUGAUGUGGUACAUGCUGAUUAGCACCGUAAUAUUUUCUCUGCGUGAGUGGGCUUUCUGGUACUUUCUGGGGGGCGGGUGUUGUGGCAAUUGAAAGGUGAAGGAGUUUUUGGAUGGAUGUUUGUGGGAGUUGGAAGGCGAAUGAGCUUAUGGUAGCAUGCUUGUUAUUUUUUAAGCUAAGUUGUCAAAUAUAUUGAAGCAUACAGGGACAAAUGUGUGAAACAAAUUGUUAAGAACAAUAGUGAUUGUUACUGUUAACCAGGCGGGAGGUAAAUCCCAAAUAUUUUAGAUGCACACAUGUCAUAAAAAUUUGUUAGCUAUUAGGGAUCUUUAAUUCUUCGGUGCAACUUUGUUGUAGUGGUUCAUACUAUCUCUUAUCCGAGGAUGUCGUCAAGAGCAUAGAUGUUUUAAUACAUGGUUAUUAUAUAUUACCUAAGAAGCCCUGGGGUGGCAGUUCGGUGUGCACCCAGUGCGGUUUGGGUGUGACUGGGUGCACCUGGCAUAUCACAGUGGGAAUUUGUGGGGGAGGGGUUGUGACAAGCAUUUUUUUCAAGUUAACUUUGAACAUAAAACUUAUUAUAUGGAGCAGUAAUUUAAAGAAAGAAAAGGACGACCCACCCACUUUUCAUUCAUUUGAGCUUUUGAGUGUCCUAACUCAUCAUCUAUGAUUAGCCGUUGUCGUCUUCUCUUCUCCUCCAUUAAAUCGAUUUGUAUAUUUGUAUAUAUAAAUGUAUGUAUAUUGGGGUGUGGGGAUGUGUCUUUUAGAGCAGCUCCAGCGAUGCUUCUUUUUGUGGACAACUCCCGCCUUGGGAAGUACAAUUUGCAGGUGGCCUGUCCACUUGCACUGGAGGAAAAGAAAAAAUGAGGCCAGAGGACACUACGCUGGCCAUGGACAACAGCCGAAGGAUAGUGUUACUUCUUAUAUAUAAUUGAGUUUAGUGGGGUUCAAAUUAUAAAAAAGUAAUACUAAACUAAUAGAAUAGCUGGACAGUGCAUUGGAGAGAAUUGGACACAUUCUUUGUUGGGACAAGUUUUGAUUAGUUGGCAAUCAUGUGGGGACAGAAAAUAGAAAAUUGGCCGUGGAGCGCUGGAGCUGCUCUUAGUGUAUAUUAUUAAUUUUUAAUUUAUCAUUAAUGACCUCUUUUUUUUGCUUUUACUUUAUUGUCUGAAUCAAUUGUUGAUUGUAUAUGUUUCCUUUUAUCUUGUAAAUUCAUUUGUAGUUAAUGUAUUAUUAAGCGUGUUGUAUCUAUAUUAACUAGAUAUAAUAUACUCCCUUUGUCCCCCUUGGUUAUUUAUCAUGGGGGAUAAGGGCUUGGCACACAUUUUAAGACUUCUAAAAAAUGUAGUUUCACAAAUUAUUUUAAAAAAAAUUCUUUCUUAAUAAAUAUUUAAUGUUUAUUCAAAAAAAGGAAAUUUUAAAAAUAAGUUAUGAAAGUAUAUUUUAUAUGCAUCUUAACAUGCGUGCCAAACAAUGCAAAAAUAAAAAAUAUAAAGAAAUGAGAGGGAUGAAGGGAGUGAAUAUAUAUAAGGCGGUGCUCAAAUGAGAACCACAACUUGUGCUAGUGUGUGAGAUAUGAUAUGAGAUGUAAUCCGGUCGACUCGUUUAUAUAUCUCAUCUCCAUCUCCCACCAUCCAUUUAUCUUAUCCACAUCUUCAUUGUCUCCUCAUACUUGAAGCAACUCUAUGACUGCCUCUAGGCGCCACCAACCGCCACUUUCACCAGCCAUCUCCGGCUGACCUAAAAAACCCUGAUAAUCACCUGAUCUAACCGAAGCGCACAAUAACCAUCACAACCAGAGAACCAUAACACCACCACAUACAACACCACCUCCCUUAAAAAUCAUCGGCAUUUUACGAAAAUCACCAUAGCCAAACGGCCCAAACCACCACAAGCCACUGCCUCCGGCCACCACCGUCAAUAAAUCACCAUAACAUGCUGAAACAUCAGAUUUGAGUACAAAUCAACAAAUUGAAGUACAAAUCACCAGAAAAUGGAUACAAAUAAGCAAGAGAUCACAAAUAUCAUCGGGCUGUCGGGAAAAAUAACCAAUGACAGCGAGUUGUUUCCGGUGGUGAGCAAAUCUGGAAUGUUGUAGAUCGAGUGAGAUGAUGGUGGCGGUGUUGACAACGACAAAAUUUUCACCGGGUGAAGGUUGAAUCAUUCGACGAUUAUGGUGGAUAUGGCACCCGCAUUAGUGCGUUAUACUAAUUAACACACGAGUCAUGAGUUAGAGAACUGAAUUUUUAUUUCCUCUUGCCCGUAACAAGUUCACACAAUUCAUACCUGUAUAUAAAAUUCAACAAGUAGGUCAACUUCAUCAUUGAAAGUAGUAGAAUAGAAGGCAAACCAGUGAACCCACCUGUGCAAGAUGAUUCCUUUUUAUUAAUGGGAAUGGGAUUUUAAAAUCAUAUUUAGUAUGCAAGUCUCACAUCUUUGCAUUUGUGUACAAGGUCGAUUCCUUUUCUGAGGGAAAAAAUGUUUUAAAUUAUGAUAGUUAUGCAAAGUAACAUUUUUGCAUCACAUUGGUUUUACUUUUUGUAGGUCUCAUGACAAGUUAUAAAUUCAUAAGAUUUGAUAGUAAUUUGCAUGCAAUUUUGGCUGUUAAAUUCAGCUUGAUAUGUAAGCAUGCUGUAUCUUAUAAUUACCUUUGUGUUUAUUCCAGACCAACAGAGGUGGAAUAUUCUAUUCUUGAUGACCUAAGGAAUCGUGUACAGUUGAGCAAUGUAGCCUUGCCUUCAGUCAGUUUCUAUACAUUUCUCAACACUCAUAACGGGUAUAUUUUUUUGUUUUGAGCAAAUAAAAUGUUCCUUCUUAUGUAUUCCACACAAUUUGUACUUAUGAUCUAAUUCUUUCUAGGUUGAACUGUUCAGCAAUAUCACAUGAUGGAUCAUUGCUUGCUGGCGGAUUUUCAGAUUCGUCACUGAAGGUCUUCUACUAUGCCAGUUCAGCUUUUACUAACUACUCCCUGUAAUCUGUUUUUCAUUUCGAAACUGUGUUUUGAAGGUGUGGGACAUGGCACUUCUUGGGCAGCAAACUGACAAUUGUAAGUCCAUAUGAUAUAUUACUUUUAUAUAUGAUGGCUUGUCUUUUCACAGUAUUGUGACUGUUGAUAUUCAGGAUGUAGUAUUUCUGGAGAUGGUUUAUUGUCGACAUCACUUUAUAAGUGUUUUAAAAUUACAAUUUUCAUGGACGCAAUAAAAACUCGGAAGUUGUGACUUCUAAAGUUCAAUUCAGGACUAGCUGAUUAGUUUGCGAUUAAAGGAGUAGUGGUAGAUACUCACUAAGCUGCAUAUGAAUGCAACAUCAAGAUUAUAUACAAGUAUAACAGUACUGUCUAAGAAUGAGGUGAUUGUAUAUGAUUAUAUAUUAGGACUAGGCAUACAGACACACACACACGCGCGCGCGCACACACACACACAUUUUGUUGUAUUUUUAAAUAACAUAAAAAUGAUUAAAAAAGAACGAGAUACAGCUGUUAGUUAAAAAAUAUAUACGAACACGUCAUAAAAAAUAAUGUAUUUAAGCAACCAUUACUUGCCGCCAGUAAAGUAUUUUCACUUGUUAAUAUUCAUAUAGGUCAAUAUUUUAAAACCUGAAGUCAAAACUUAUAUAUGGUUUCAUGUAAUUCGGAGCUGAGGUAGUAUAUAAAGUAACAAACUAGUCAUACUUAUUAUUGCAAGACUUCGAGUGAUUAUUGAAUCGUAAUUGUUUUCUGCAGGCUGUGAAACGCAAACCCGUUUCUCUUUGUAAUUAUGUAUCAAUUUUUAUGGAACAAAUACUGCUACAAAAUAAUUGAAGAUAUUAAUGUUAUACAGAUUUUGAGCAAAUAAGAACCUUCUGCUUUUCUAUACUAAUUUUGCUAAGCAAUUCUACCUUGCCCGUGUAAACUUACCUUUUUUUAAUAGAGUAUUCAGAUAACAGAGGUUUUCAUUCAGCUAUUUUGCCAGAGGAAAACGAGUCAGCUCGUAGUGCGGCUGGAACAAAUUCUGGGAAAAGAUCGUAUACACUAUAUCGGGGUCAUUCCGGUCCCGUAUAUUCUGCUGCAUUUAGUCCUUUUGGGGAUUUCCUCCUGUCAUCUUCAUCAGAUUCAACAAGUAUGUUCAACAAAUUUCUUCUGAAAUUUAUAUGGUUAUACCAAUAUGCUACAGUUUUGGUUAUAGUUUAAGCUUAUUUAUACAUAAAUGGUUUUCACAUAUCACAUGUAAUUUUGAAAUUACAAAGUGAAAAAGGGGUAUAUCUUAUCUCUUUCUGAGUUUUUCCUGUGGAAAUAUAAAUUAUAAUUAAUCUAUAUUCAUGUACAUUUUAGUAUAUAUGAAGUUCUAGUAAUAGUUUAAUCUUUUAUUAUCUCAAUGAACAACCAAGGAGUCAUUUAUUAGGCAGUUGUGAGUUAUCAUGUUUCUAAAUCAAUUGAAAUGCAAUUUUGAUUUAUGUAUAUUGUAUAUUGUAGAAGUUAUGUUAAAACUGAAAAUAAGGGGCCUAUUUAAUGGGUGUAAGGAAUUGCCAUUUCUGUGACCAAUGUUAUAAUUAUGUUGCAUAAUGUUCUCAUGCAGUUCGGUUGUGGAGCACCAAGUUAAAUGCAAAUCUUGUUUGCUACAAGGGUCAUAAUUACCCAGUAUGGGAUGUCAAGGUAAGAAUUUGUACUUUGUUCUUCAAAUUCCUUAUAACCAUACUCCUAGUCCAUCUGCUUUCUUUUAUAUUUGAAAUAAUAAAAUGGAUAUUUAAUUUAGUAGAGUUGGUAAAAGCAAUAUUUGCUGAUGUAUCAAUCAAUUAUUAUAUAUAACAAUUGCUCGAGUUUCAUUUAAUUCAUAGUUUGUCAGUUUUCUCGUGCCUGGAGUCUGACUUAUCUUGAAAUAAGGCCUCAACCUCUCUGCAUUUGUGACAGUUAUGCAGACUCUUCUUAGUCAGCCCUCGUCCCCUGGUUUUGAAAGAUUGAAUAGAGAUUAAGUAACUUUAUCAAUCUGAUCUUCACCAAGUUACCUAAAUGCUGGCUGUAAAACAAUGCCUCUAAAUUUUAUAUUUCGGAACAGAAUGCAAAUGCUUUCUUCAUUGACUUUCAUGUUUCUGGAAGUAUGUUCUUGUGAUUUAGUAUAGAAAUGAAUUAUUCAAUAAUGGAGGUAGACAUUAUAGUCUUUACAACAUUCUCACCACAUAAGGUCAGAGGAAUUCUUAGAGAUUGGUAAAAUUCCGUGAAAACCAAUUUGUAAUGUUGGAAUUUAACAUGCGGAAGUAUUUUAGCAGAUCUGGUGAAAUUAUUCGGAUAAAUGAAGGUGGUAAUAUAUAAUUUUACUUAAUGAUCUUUACUCUUGUCAGUAAACUCCAUGCCCACAUCACACGACCUGAUUCACUUUUACUUUUAACACUACCUUCAGUUCAGUUGGACGAAUACAUAAACUCAUGAUGAGAAAGUGCGAGAGAAAAUUGGCUAAAGCCUUUAUUUUUAUUUGAUUAUAAGGCUAAAUUGUUAUUUGCAAAGUUUUUAUUGGUAAGAGAUUAGUUGCUACUUAACUGUAAAACACAAAUUUUUGUGGGAUUAUAAAUUUAUAGGUUGAUAUGGAGACAAAGAUUCCCACUUAGCAUUCUGACAAAGAAGAGCACUCUCGACUUUGAGUAUAAUUACAGUUUUUCUGACUGAUACAAAAACCGUAAAAAAUUGUUGGUAAACUAAAUGUUUGAUAUGACAAUAUUACCAACACACCAAUGAGGUUUUUUUUUCUUUCUAAUAUCUGGAAAUUAGCUGUCUGUCCAUGUGGGAUGUCCCAACUCUCUUAAUAGAUUACUGAACUUUACACAACAAUAUGGUCCUGACUCCUGACUGCAGCCUAUAUUAUCAUUCCAACUGACUCUUUAGUUUCUAUUACUCACAUUCCUAUAUCCAACAGGUUAUACAAAGACAUUAACGAAUUGGCUUUCUAAUCUUUCUCAUAUUUGAAUGCAGUUUAGUCCUGCAGGACAUUAUUUUGCUAGUGCCUCGCAUGAUCGAACUGCAAGAAUUUGGUCAAUGGACAGAAUACAGCCUCUUAGAAUCAUGGCAGGGCACUUGUCUGAUGUUGAUGUGAGUAUUUUACUAGAUGUUUGGUUUAUGGCACCCAUUCCAUAUAUAGUAGUCAGCGACACCCAUUCCAAUUAUAUAUAUUAAGUAACUGGAGCCAUGUUUUGUAGUGCCAAUAAAGCCUUGAUCUAUAAUCUUUAUUAUCUUACAUCUAUAGAUUAUAGCAUGGGUUCACAAAGUAUGUUUCAUAUGCAUGUCAUCAAUAUAUUGAUUUGGAACACAAGUCUGCCAAUCCAUAUGAACAUGCCAUGUCAUUGUGUACAUAUGUGAGGCUCCAGCAUCAUUCUAAGCUGUAUAAAUUUUGAGUGCAUUCAAGCUAAAACAGGCUAUAAAUGUACUUCCAGUGUGUGCAAUGGCAUGCGAAUUGCAACUACAUUGCAACCGGAUCAAGCGAUAAGACUGUUCGCUUAUGGGAUGUACAGAAUGGAGAGUGUGUCAGGAUUUUCAUUGGCCAUAGGAGUAUGAUCUUAUCUUUGGCAAUGUCACCUGAUGGUCGAUAUAUGGCAUCUGGGGAUGAAGAUGGAACCAUUAUGAUGUGGGAUUUGUCUAGCGGUCGUUGUGUUACUCCAUUAGUCGGUCAUUCUACCUGUGUAUGGACACUUGAUUACAGGUCAAAAUCCUCAACUGACACCAUUCUUACUGUUUUGUUGUACAUUUCACUUUGAAGAGGGAAAAAGGUGAUUUGAAUUAUUAAUCUUAUAGUCCACUUAGUUUAUGACAUCUCUAUACAUAUUUUCAGUUGUGAGGGUUCACUUCUUGCAUCCGGUUCUGCUGAUUGCACUGUAAAACUCUGGGAUGUGACGUCGAGUACAGCAAGGGUGCCAAAAUCAGAAGAGAAGUAAGCAACUUUUAAAUACAUAUUUGCUCUUUCCAGUAUGUUCUUUAGUUACUAUGAAAAAUUGCAGACAUUUAUACUCUAUAUUAUAUACAACCAGCAAAACCGGAAGUACUACAAACAGGCUUAGAUCCCUCAAGACCCUGCCUACGAAAUCUACACCAGUCCAUGCAUUGAAGGUGAUAUAAGAAUAUUUAUUAUUCGAAAGUUUGGUUCGGUGUUACCUAUGUUACAAGUCCCUUAAACUUUUAUUUGCUAUUUCCUGUCAUGAACAGUUUUCUCGAAGAAAUCUCCUCUUUGCUGCUGGACCUAUAUCUGCAAAUGGGUCAACUUAUUGAUCUAGUUGAGACGUGAAGUACCUGCAAAUUUUCGGAUAUGAAUGGUUUCUGUUUGGGAUAUGGCAACUCUAUAGUGGUAUCUAGACUUGCAAAACUCUGAAGAAUAUCUGUUAAUGUACAUGGAUUUAGGCGAUGUCAAACAGGUCGCUGGAUUUGUAUCUGGUUGUCCUAAAUCUGUAUCCAUUUAAUUUUAUUGGAUUCCGAUUCGGGAAAUUGUAGAUAUCUUCAAGUUUAAGUUAAAUUUAUUUAUUGAAAAUGUUGGAGAUGUUCUUAUGUAUUUAAUCUGUUAAUUUUUCAUUUGUUGUAUAAUGAAUCACUUCCAUUCCAAAAUUGCUAGCAUUUAGUCGGUUAAUUUCUUAUAUGUUGUACAAUAUAAACCAAGUUCAUGCUAAAAUAUUAUAUAAAUGUUAAAUUGACAUUUUUAAUCAAUAUUUAUGUGUAUUAUACUAUUAUAUAAUAAAAAUAAAAUAAAAUAAAAUAUAGUAUUGAAAGAGACUAUUGAUAGUAUAGCCAUCUUUAAAUAAUUAAUUAUAUAAAAUUAACACUUAUUUCAGUACAAAGUUAAAACUAUUUUUAAUUACAGAAGAUGGAUUCUAUUAUUAUAAAAAUAUCAUCCAACAUUUAUACACAUGGGUCAAAAAACUUGUCUUAUGAAUCCUUUUCUCAUAUCAGGUAAAGGGGUCUUUUUAGUGCGUGUCCACUAACAACUAUUUUUUAUUGAGUGGAGAAUUUUUAUUGGUUAAUAAUUUUUGUGCAUGUGCAGGAGGUCAUGAUUAUUAAUGAGUUUUAACCAAUAGAAUUGUUUCACCUACUCAAAAAGUGGUUAUUGUGUGCACAUGGGCACAUAUUAGAAAAUCGAUAUUAUGAAUCAUUUUCUACUUUUAAACUACGUAAAAAUAUUUACAACAAAAUUAGAUUUAUUAGUUUAAUUUAAACAUUGAAAGUACUAUUGUUUCCCAACAAGUGUAUUUUAAAUGAAUGUUUAUGUUCACCGCUCGUAAACAUGUGAAAAACAUUCAUGAGAUGUCGAGCUCUUGGCAUUCCCACGUGAUCCUUCUUACGGGAUGAGUUGAUUAUAAUCGUUGGUUAAAUUAAACAUACAAAAUAUUAUGUAAAAUUUAUUGAAUCUGUAAGACAUCGUGCUUCGAUAGUAUUGAGCCUAUUGGUUAUAUUGAUUGGCUAUAAUUUUAAAAUAGUAUGUUAUUAAUAUUUAGAUUUUUAUAAAUAGAAUAUAUCAGUUUAAUAUGAUAAUAAAUAAUGUGUAAUCUUUCUAUAGAUUUUCUAUAAGCCUGAAGAGUUUCGACAAAGUUAGUUAUCCAUAGGAGGUUGACUGAAAUUAUAGAUAAGGGUCGGUGUUGUUGGAGCGCGAUUUUUGACGGAAUUGACUAUAUUUUUUAAUUAUGAUAUACCAACUCAAUGAGGUCUUCAUUGUUCAUUGUUGGAGAUGCUCUCACCGCCCCACUUAAAAAUCCAAAAAUCACCUUUAAAUUGAUGCUUUAAUUACGAAGAUUACCGGCAACUUGUUUGUUAGCACUGUUUCCGAACAAGAUUUACAACAGCUUUCUGAGCGAUCUUACUUUAAUUAAUUUUUUGACUCAAUUGAAGUUUAACUUUGAUAUUUUUUUGGUGAAACACUCUAAAAUUCGAUCUAUAGCAAACAUAUGAGUUUUAAGUCCGCAACCUAAAAUUAUUUUCGACGGUAAACAAUGUCUUAUAUCCAAUUUAGCAAAUUGACCUUUUUUGUUUAGCAUACUACUUCUAGACAACACAGUUGCAGCUACAAGAAGGACAAAAUAAGUUCUAAGCUUUGCUCAAACAUCUUGAUUUGAUCCCUAAUACUAGUCCUUCUAUUCGAACUGGGCUAAUAGUCUGGCAUAUGAUUCUGAUCUAGCACUUUACUCAGGCCUUAGGUUCCCUUAAUACAAAUUUAAAUAAUUGAUAAAUCAAUUAAGCAGGCUGCAUGAUCUACUAGGAAAAAUAUGAUCCUUCUUAUUGUGAUUAUCAACAAUCAACACUAACCUAAUAUUCUGAUGCAGAAUUCAUUCACAAGGGUGCUUAAUGAGAAGUUAAAAGUAGAGAUGUCCAAUAUGUUUGUUCAAAUUAUCUAUUGCAUGUAUGGUAUAUACACGAAAUGGAUAAUAAAUCCAAACCUCACAGAUCUUGGUUGUUUCAACAGCUAGCUGUUGAUCACAGAAGAGAAGUAAAGACACUAUGGCCUGUACCAAAGAAAUCGUAUGGUUUCAGUUUUUGUGACAAUAGUAAUAGAAAAUUGCACUGUAAGGUGUUGAGAGCAUAGUUCAGCGAUAAGAGGGUGGCUGAAAUUUCCAUGUAGUGGAAGAGAAUCCUGAUGAUGCUGCUGUAGAUAACAACGGCAAGGGGUUGACCACACCAAGGUUGUUUCUUUGCCAUUCCCAGUUAGAGAUUCCAUGUGAAGGAACAACUUGGGCUUCCAUAUUCUUCAUUGCUGUCAACUGUUAACAGAAAGAUAUGUCCAUCAAUGAAGAUCAAUGAAUAUUCAUAUUUAAAUUUUGUGGUUAUGGUUGUAGGAAAUCUCUGUUGGUCAAGGUUUUGUAACUCCUGCAAUUAAAGACAUAAGCUAGCAGUUUAUCUUGUUGAUUUUUUAAAUGAGAUGCGUCACCUCAUGGCCUGGUGCCAAACCAGAAUGAUUAACAGGCCAGGAGGGAAUAUAGUGGGGAGUUUCUCUACCAGAAGGAGCAGGAGCAAGGGUCUCAACCUAAAUACAAGAAACAUAGUUGGGGACAUUAGCUCUAGAGAUUAUAAUGAAAUUUGUAAAUCACAUAGCACUUGAGCUGGAUAACACGAACUUGGAACAAUAAAUUCAAGACUAUUUCUGGGAAAAAUAAUCUAGAACAGGUUACCUUGGAUCUUUUUGCACCAGACAAGUGAUAUGAUGGAUCAUGGAGGCAAAUAUUCCUAACACCGUCAUUUCCUCUUUGAUUAUUGGAGGGAGGAGAAAUCCAGAGGCCAAGGUCCAGAUUAUGGUGUGCAUCUGCAGAGUCUGCCCAUAUAAAGGAGCACACAUUGUAGAACUUUUGACGUAGAAACUAUUCACACCAAGAAACAUUAUAGAUAGCAAAACUAAAUUUCUGUACCCUGAUUAUUGUUUGCCACACAAAAAUUACCACCAUAAGUGCUGGGCUUUGAAUUUGUCGCUGCUGCAGUUGCAUUACAUUCAACAGCUGCUUGAUUACAAGCCCUGGAUCAGAAAUUGAACAUGCAUAUUUUGUUGGAGUAGGAGAUAAAUAGAUAAAGCUCUAGACCUUAAGUCACAAGCAAUAUCAACUUAUAUGGCAAGAUACUGCAGAUCCUAUCUGACUACCAUUAUUUACUAUACAGAUACCUUUCAUCAAGCAGUGUAAUCAUGUACAUGCAUAGAUAACAACUAACAAGAGCAAUUACAAGAUGCAUGCAGGUUUAGUGUCCAUAAUGCUACCAUUAGAUUAUAGGUGCACAUCACAUAUGCAACAAAAUGUUAGACAGGCUAGUUCAAAGGAAAGUAAGAAACAUAUAGUUAUAAUUUCAGUAGCAGUAAACUCACUGUUUCCCAAGAAACUGAUCCAUUUGAGUUCCCCAUCGACCAUUUUUAUGCAAAGUUACUCCUCUGUAUUUUGAGCUACCCCUAGACAAUCCAUUGCUCUGGCGACGAAGUAUCUGGACAAACUCUUCUUUCGUCAUGUCCUUUGUCUACAAAUAAAUUUCAGCCGUGACAUAUAUACCCAAAUUAGAUUUUAUAAGACAAAUAAAUAAUCCAUCAGAAGCUGUGAUAUAUUAAGAGAAUCACCUGUUUAAGAUCAUCAUCAUAGUCAGUAGCACUAAAAUUAAUAUCAGCAUCAGGCCCCCGGAACUUAACAGCAGCCCGAUCAUAAGCCCUUUGCCAAGAAAUCCACAGAACUCAAAACACUAGAAAAAUUUUAACUAAUACAAAAUGUAGCUAUAGAACUUGGUUUGUAAAUAAACUCAAACCUAGCUGCAGCAUGAGCAGUGUCAAAUCCACCUAAAACAAAUCAAGCACACAAAGCACCAUCAGCUUAACGGUAAAAGCCCCUUACUGAACACAAAACUUAUAACCGUUUUAAAUCAAAUUGCAUACCUAAAUAAACUUGCUUUCCGCAAUCCCUGUUAUAUAAAAACCAAACACACUAACACACAUCAGCAAUUAUUUCAGCAAUAAUUCAAUAGAUUCCAAUGCAAAAUAACAUUCAUCUCAAAAAUUAAACAAUAAGUCAGAAAGUCUCAACAUAUCUAUAUAUAUACACCACACACACAGAUUGCAGCUAGUCUGCUCCGUUAAUAUCAGUAUACACACACACACAUUGCAGAGAGUCUCUCUCUCCCUCCCUCCCUCCCUCCCUCCCUCCCUCUCUCUCUCUCUCUCUCUCCCUCUCUCCCUAUCUAUCUCCCUAUCUAUCUCUAUCCCCCCUCCCCCUCAGUACUGUGCGGUUCUCUCCCUCAAUAGUGUAAACUGCUUAGCGAAAUUACACACACAAAGUGCGGUUGACUAAUAGACACAUUCAAAUAAACUAUACACAGCUGACAGCUCGUUAUCAUAAUCUUCUACACAUACACGNUCUCUCUCUCCCUCCCUCUCUCCCCCCCCCCCUCCCUCUCUCUCUCUCUCUCUCUCCCUCUCUCCCUAUCUAUCUCCCUAUCUAUCUCUAUCCCCCCUCCCCCUCAGUACUGUGCGGUUCUCUCCCUCAAUAGUGUAAACUGCUUAGCGAAAUUACACACACAAAGUGCGGUUGACUAAUAGACACAUUCAAAUAAACUAUACACAGCUGACAGCUCGUUAUCAUAAUCUUCUACACAUACACGUGCUCACUUAACUUAUAAAAAAUAAUCACAAAAACAGAAAUAAUUAAAUACACACACAUUUCACAAAAUCAAAACACACACAUUCCCUAUACAUCAUACCAGAUAUGUGACUCCCAGCGACCAGUCCUUCGAUAAAACGUCACGCCACGAUACUGGGAGCUCCUCGACCGCGGUCCUCUCCGACUCUUCUUCAUCCUCGCCACCGGAACCUCCUCCGUCACCGCCGCCUUCCGAUCCUCAAAAACUCUCAUCAUUCUACUCUCUCCACCGCUAACCGACAAAUUCAACCACCGCGACUCAAUCUCAUCACUCAUCUUCUCCAUCUCAUCUCCUUUCUCCGGAAACAGCUGCCUCGUGAUCAACUCCACCGAUCUCACGGACUUCAAUUCGCGUCUCUCGAAGUUACAGCACGACUCUCCGGUGUUCUCGCCGAUGUUCUCUCCCGGAGCUUCUUCGGCGACGUUGAACACCGAGGAGAUUGAAGUGCCGGAGUCCUGCCGGCGCGGCGUGCUCGAUAAGAACAAGUGAUGAUGACGAUGAUCCUCCACUUCAUCGCAAUUCGAGUCGGUUGAGAGCUCGUGAGUUGCCUCGUUGACAUUGAGAUCGAACAUCUCUGCGCGAUGUAUUCGCAUAGACUUGUGUAUGUAUAGGUGUAUAGAACUGAAGACGUAGAACAGAAAAGCACAUACACUGUGUGAAACAGAGAGAGAGGGAGGGAGGGAGGGAGAUAGAGAGAGAGAGAGAGGGGGAGAGAGAGAGAUAGAGAGAGAGAUGGGACGUGAAAAAUGUGAUUGGAGCCUAAAGAAGGAAGAGGAUCUAAAAAGAUACUCCCUCCGUCCCAAAAAGAGUGAGCUGGUUUGACUUUCACGGAGAUUAAGAAAAAUGUAGUAAGUUUAGUUGAAAAGUGGGUAAAAUGGUGGGACCUACCAAUAUUUAAUAAUAGAUUUGAGAUAGUGGAGGAAGAUAGUGGGUGUAAUAGUGUUUAUAUUAUUAUAGAAAAGAGAUAGUGGAAGAAAGUAGUGGGUGUAAUAGUAGAAAGUAGUGCUCAAAAAUAGUAAGUAUUGUAGGUUCAUUCUUUUUGGGACGUCCCAAAAAGGAAUAAGGGUCACAUAAAAUGGGACGGAGGGAGUAGUUGGUAUCAGAUUUAAAAAAUGAGUGUGGUUGGUUAGCUUUGUUUUUAUUCUUGUAUUAUUUCCAUUUCGAGGAAGAAAGUACCAUUGUACUAGUAACAUUGUUUACUCUCUUUACCUAAUUCAGUAAUCUAUCUUCAUCGUUUAUAUAAUUAAAUUUAACUAAAAUGAAAAGUAAUGAAUUGUGAUGAUAAUAUAAUUAUGCAAAAUUAUAUGGACCAACACCGCCACGCCAAUGUUGGACCAAUGAUGAGUAGUGAAAUUUAAUUAAAAUGAGAUACAAAUAAUAUAUACAACAAAAAAGUUGAUAUAAUACAAGAUUUACCAAUAUCACAUAUGUUGUACCAAAAUCUUAAGACACAAGUCAUUUUUAGAAAGCUAUAAUUAUUAAUUUUCUUUAACAUAAAUAUAGUUUUCAUCUCUAUAUACAUUAAAUUUUUACACGUUUUUUAGAGUAUUAACUGUAUAGUAAUGUUAACAUCUUUAAUAUUUGUCUUGAAUAAAAAUAUCAAAUUUGUACAUUGAUCGAAAACAAUAAUUUUAAAUAUAUGAUUGAUGCAUUUAAAAUUUUGUAUCUAAGAAUUAAACACUAAGUAUUUGAAUAUUUGAAGAGAGAAAUUAAUUCUUACACAAAGUUUGGCCAGUAAGAAGAGUUAAGUAUCGUUUGUAAGAAUAACCCAAUAUCACUAAAAUAUUAAAUUUAAUCCUUCAAAGUAUAUUGAAAGUAAGGUUGAAUAAAUAUUAUGAUAGGAAAUAUCCUCAAAACUAAAUUUAGGAGAUUAUUUAGAAUUUAUUUUAUUAAAAAUGGUUGGUGAGCAAACCUUGAGGAGCAAUAAUGAAAGUUGAUAGGACUCCACCUUUAUGUCAUUCUUGGAGUGUUGCAACAAAAAACCUGUACCCUACAUGAGUAGGGUUCAUGUCACAGCGGCACGGGCAUGCCAGAUUGGGCAUGCCAGACUGGGCAUGCCCUAGGCAUGCCUUUUGUCCAUUUGGCAUGCUUUUUUACUAAUUUUUUAUAUAAAUAAUAAAAUUUAUAUAAAUAUUAUAUCUUAUAAAUAUUGAAAAUUUUAAAUAUAGUCCAACUUCAUAGUUAAAUAUUAGAUAAACUACUAAUAUAAGUUAGUAUUGUACUAAGUUCGGUUCUUAAUAUUUACUAGCUUUUGUUAUAUUUGUAAGUGCACUUUAGUAUCAAUCCUGUAAUGAUGCAGCAAUUUUUGCUAUAUUUAAUGGAAAAUGGCAUGCCAUUUGGGCAUGCCUUUUUGUAAAAUACAUGCCUAUAGGCAUGCCAGUGAGAACUGCCGUGACAUGUACCCUAUACAUGAGUCCUCAAUCCUGAUAUAUACACAUCUCCCUUCAAUUUUUUUCCUACUAUUAGAACGACAAUGGCGACUUUCGUCUUUUCUAGACUAUGUUAUAAAAGUGUUCUUAUGUGAGCCGGAAAUCUGAUCUGCAAUUACGUAGAUUUUUAGGAUGCAUGAUCUCUCAUUUCAUUGUCGAGGAUAAUCAUGCUUAAUAUAAUAGAGGGAGAGUUUUUUGAAAAACAAGAGUCAUGUUGGGAGAGUGUUUAUUUAACACAGUGAUUUGGAAUUAAAAAAAAUUCUUUGUAGAUUUGAAUGAGAUAUACUUACAUUUUUAUGAAAGUGGAAAAUUACAAUAUAAUCCAAGAACAAGUCCAAGAAAGUAUGUCAUAAAUUAAAAUUUAAGAAAGACAUUUAAAUUAAAUGAUGUUUCCCAAGACAUCUAAAAAGUGUUUGAGACAUCAGAAUGCAUACCCUCAAACAUUUCUAUCAACAUAAAAUUAGAUUCUUUUCAUUUCAACAUAAUUAUCUUCUCUCUUUUUAUUUCUCUACAAUAAUAAUUCAAAUAUAUUAUUAUUUUACUAAAAAGACAUAAUAAUAAGAUAUAUUGUUGGAGUUAAUAUAUUAAAAUAUGUUUUGAUCACCAAGACACUCUUUUUUCUUAUACUUACAUACAUUUGCUAGAUCAUUAUUGAAGUUGCUCUGAUAUAUAAGUUCUUGUAAUAAAGAACAAUUUUUGAUUGUUAGAUUCUAAAAUUUACAUAAAAGGAUACAUAAAAAUUAUUUAAAUUAUACAUUUUUAUAAAUCGAAGAUUUUUUGAAUAAUAUUUUUAAUUUAACUAUGUAACCUUAGUUAAAAUGAUACUCCCUCUGUCCCAUUUAAUUGUAUACGUUUCUUUUCAACUGCUCGACACGCCACUAGGGUUCAUGUCACAGCGGCACGGGCAUGCCAGAUUGGGCAUGCCAGACUGGGCAUGCCCUAGGCAUGCCUUUUGUCCAUUUGGCAUGCUUUUUUACUAAUUUUUUAUAUAAAUAAUAAAAUUUAUAUAAAUAUUAUAUCUUAUAAAUAUUGAAAAUUUUAAAUAUAGUCCAACUUCAUAGUUAAAUAUUAGAUAAACUACUAAUAUAAGUUAGUAUUGUACUAAGUUCGGUUCUUAAUAUUUACUAGCUUUUGUUAUAUUUGUAAGUGCACUUUAGUAUCAAUCCUGUAAUGAUGCAGCAAUUUUUGCUAUAUUUAAUGGAAAAUGGCAUGCCAUUUGGGCAUGCCUUUUUGUAAAAUACAUGCCUAUAGGCAUGCCAGUGAGAACUGCCGUGACAUGUACCCUAUACAUGAGUCCUCAAUCCUGAUAUAUACACAUCUCCCUUCAAUUUUUUUCCUACUAUUAGAACGACAAUGGCGACUUUCGUCUUUUCUAGACUAUGUUAUAAAAGUGUUCUUAUGUGAGCCGGAAAUCUGAUCUGCAAUUACGUAGAUUUUUAGGAUGCAUGAUCUCUCAUUUCAUUGUCGAGGAUAAUCAUGCUUAAUAUAAUAGAGGGAGAGUUUUUUGAAAAACAAGAGUCAUGUUGGGAGAGUGUUUAUUUAACACAGUGAUUUGGAAUUAAAAAAAAUUCUUUGUAGAUUUGAAUGAGAUAUACUUACAUUUUUAUGAAAGUGGAAAAUUACAAUAUAAUCCAAGAACAAGUCCAAGAAAGUAUGUCAUAAAUUAAAAUUUAAGAAAGACAUUUAAAUUAAAUGAUGUUUCCCAAGACAUCUAAAAAGUGUUUGAGACAUCAGAAUGCAUACCCUCAAACAUUUCUAUCAACAUAAAAUUAGAUUCUUUUCAUUUCAACAUAAUUAUCUUCUCUCUUUUUAUUUCUCUACAAUAAUAAUUCAAAUAUAUUAUUAUUUUACUAAAAAGACAUAAUAAUAAGAUAUAUUGUUGGAGUUAAUAUAUUAAAAUAUGUUUUGAUCACCAAGACACUCUUUUUUCUUAUACUUACAUACAUUUGCUAGAUCAUUAUUGAAGUUGCUCUGAUAUAUAAGUUCUUGUAAUAAAGAACAAUUUUUGAUUGUUAGAUUCUAAAAUUUACAUAAAAGGAUACAUAAAAAUUAUUUAAAUUAUACAUUUUUAUAAAUCGAAGAUUUUUUGAAUAAUAUUUUUAAUUUAACUAUGUAACCUUAGUUAAAAUGAUACUCCCUCUGUCCCAUUUAAUUGUAUACGUUUCUUUUCAACUGCUCGACACGCAUUUCAAUGCUCUUAUAAAAUAUAGUUCCGUAACUUAUUUUUGAUUUUUUUUUUCUGAAUAAAAAUAUAACAUCCAAACUUUAAUUCAGAAAAAGAAAAUUUUAAAAAUAAAUUACACAACUACAUUUUAUAAGAGCAUUAAAGUCCGUGCCACGUCCCCGUCCCCAAUGUAUGAUAUUCAGGGGGCGGAGGGAGUAAUAAAUGCAAGGAGAAAGCGGUUAAAUAGUGGGGGUGGAAUCGAUUCCAAAGGCAACAGAAGAGAAGAGAAACCAGCUGUGGGAGAUACUACUCAUACAGUACGUUGACGAGAAAGAAUCUUCUUCCUUCACUAGUAGAGUAUUUCAAAUCAAUAUCAACCAACUUGGGACCUCUCUUUUUGCGUUACACUACAUUCUACCUUAAAUUUCCUUUCUUCUUCACUCUUCUUCUUCUUUCCUGGCACCAUUUCUUUGCUCACUAUACAUUUCUCCUUUCUUUUUUCCGCUGUACACUACUGCAACAAACACUCUUGCAAAGCCUCAUCCACAGAAUUGAAGAACCAACUAGGGGUUCUAGAUUUUUCUUCGGCAAUCUAUCAAUUCAUUAAAAAGAUCAUACGCUAUUUCAUAAUCAUAAAAAGACACUUUUUGGAUUAUGUUGCGCCUUUUUUUGUCACAAAUAUUGGUAUUUGUAUCUGUGGUCCAAUAUUCUAACAUACAUAUGUCUGAAUUUUAAAUAACGAUAUUAAAUUUUAAAUAAUAAAAAUGGAUUAUGUUUGCGCUUUUAUUUGUCACAAAUAUUAAUAUUUGUAUCCGUGGUUCAAUUAUCUGACACAUAUAUGUCUGAAUGAAUUUUUAAUAAUGAUAUUAAAUUUUAAAUAGUAAAAAUAUUUGAUCCACUCUAAAAAAAUCGUUCACUUGCAUUUGAAUUGAUAACUUAUUUCCAUUUCUAAAACCGAAACUGAGCGUGCAAGAAACGGGUUGCCAUUAACAAUGAACAAAAUCGUACAUUUCUCGUGGAAACUUCCCCAUCUUCAAUCAAAGUCAAGAAGUGUUGAUUUGUGUCACGUGAUAAACAUGAUCAAAAGAUAUUUACAUGGCAGAAGACUAUCACCUGUAACUAUCGUGAAUAAGUAAUCAGUCGUUAACAUACAACUAAAGUACUGCUAGUGCUCAUUCAGAAAGAUCUCUUAUCUGUAUCGCUGGAUAAGCUACUUGUGGGGUCCGUCUAUAUUUUCAUUGUUUCAACUUUCUUUUCCUAAAUUGUUUAUCUCUGAAAAGAGACUCUGAUACGGAUUUUAAUAUUUUUAUAAAAUAUAAUUUUAUUAAGUAUUUUAAAUAAUUUUUUUAUGAGUAAAAAUUUAAGAAUAUAUUUAUUAUUAUUAUAAAUUCUAUUUUGUCAUAUUUUAAAAAAUAUAUAAACUUAUAACAUACAAAUUUCAUAUUUUAUGUACUCGCUUCAAAUUUCACCUCCCCGAGUUUUAAUACUUGACUUCAAUAACCAAAAAAAACCUCUCAUAAUUUUUUUAAAAUUAACAUUUAUAUACUCUAAUAAUAAUGUUAGUUCAUCAAUUUUGAGAGUAGGAGAAAUGAAUAGAAUAUAAUUAUUAAUAAGGACAUUUGACAUUGUUAUCGAAGAAAAAUAAUGGAAAAGAUACUAUAGGUAUGGUCAUAUGAAUUAUAUAUUAAAAUUAAAAUAUGUAUAAUGAGGAAAAGAGGUGAGGUCAGAUAGGAAAUGAAUGGUGUACAAAUGUGUCGGUAGUGGGGAAUGGAGUCUUUGUGGUUCCAGGAGACGUGGUCCCUUCUUCUCCUUUCCUUCCUGCUUGGACUCUUAACUCUUACUUGCUUCUUUAACUCUUUUGAGAAAUUAGUUUUUAUUUUAUUCUAGACGAAAAGUCUAAUAAAAUCACAGCUGUUUUGCAGUUAAAUUUUGGUACACAUUAUAAAGGAUGAGAAAGUUGGAAGUUUUUGUUUAGAACCCAACGAGAAAAGAGCCAUUAUGUCAUAAGUUUCACAUGCAGGGUUGAAAUAUCAUAUUUGUAAAAAAUAUGGAAAAUCUCACUAAUUAGUAUUGUAUAAUCCAACAUUUCCAUUCUCAGAAAGAAUCAUUACAUCGUCUUGUAUUUAGAUUUAAAAACCACAACAAAUUAUAAUAAGAUCAACAUACUAAAAUAAACACUACUUGCGGAGGAAUUCUUAAGUUCUCGGGGUAUUGGAAUCUCACCAAUGAUUGCGUUAUUCAAGCCAACAUUCUCGCUUCCGCUUCGUCCACUACCGCUCGCGCGGGUGCUUUCCUCUAAGGUGGAAAGCUCCUCUACCGAUGUAUUUUUACAUCCCAUAACUUCGGCAGAUCGCUUUGCUCCGUGUAUUUUCGGCGUAAGAGCGCUCGAUCAGUGAGCUAUUACGCAUUCUUUGAACGUAAUUUUACGAUUUCAUUAGAUAAUGAUAUAUUGAAACAUUUUUUCAAACUAUAAUAUUUGAGACAUUUUAACGAACAAGGUCAUAAUAUUAUAUAUAAGCAUACAAUUCAUAUUACAAAUUUGAAAAUGAAUGAAAGAUAAGAAAUGGAGAACAAUCAUACAAGGAGUAUGGAGAGUUAAAUAUUUUAUAACAUUUAACUGGGUUAAGAAUUUAGAUACCAAAUAUUUCUCCUUUUUUUUCUAAUUAUUUUGAAACUAACUUCUUUAUUUGAGUUAACCAUCAAAACAAGAUUGAUACUCCCUCCGUCCCAGCCAAUUCUUUACGUUUGGUUUGGGCACGGAGGUUAAGAAAUAUGUAUAAAGUAGUGGAAAAGAGAAAGAAAAGUUGGUGAAGUGGCGGGACCCAUCAAUUUUUAAUGUAUAAAAGAGAGAUAGUGGAGUAAAAGUAGUGUGAAAAGGGAGUAAAAGUAGUGUGAAAAGGAAGGAAAAGUUGAGAAGUGGUGGGACCCAUUUACUAUUUUUGGUAAAUUUUGAAAUGUAAAGAAUUGGAUGGGACAUCCUAAAAUGGAAACUGUAAAGAAUCUGGUGGGACAGAGGGAGUAUAAUCUUUAAGAGCAUCCCAGCGCGAGCCUGUUUGGCGCCUGGGGACGCGUGAAAUGGGAACUGGCUCUGACAACAGCGCUGCAGCAACAGGAAAAAAGCGGUCCGGCUUGGCGCAGUGGGCUCGGCCCGAAAGGAAGAAAAGAGAAUUUUGCAGGUGCUUUCUGUGUUUGUACAGGUUUUUAAGAUUAUAUAUAUACACGGUGAGUUAACUUUUAACGUUAAUAUAUUAAUGAGCAAACUUCAGAGUUGUGGCCAAAGUUUACAUCGAUUUUCAAAACGUUGGCCAGAGUUCCAAAUUCUCAAAAAGAUGGCCAAACUUUGGCUUCACUUUUUAAAAGUGUCGCUCCCGUUAAAUGUCACUAACGGGAGCCACAUUUUUGAAAAGCGGACCAAAAUUUGGCCACUUUUUUGAGAAUUUGAAACUCAUUUUUACCUUUCUAUUCGUUCCAAAUUCUCAGAAAAGUGGCCAAACUUUGGUCUGCUUUUCAAAAAUGUGGCUGCCGUUAGGCUCCCGUUAUUGACAUUUAACGGGAGCCAUACUUUUAAAAAGCGGAGCCAAAGUUUGUCCAUCUUUUUGAGAAUUUGAAAUUCUGGCCAACUUUUUAAAAAUCGGUAUAAACUUUGGCCACAACUUUGAAGUUUUCUAUAUUAAAUCAAAUAUAAUAUUUUGUAAUGUUAAAUCAAAUAUAAUAUUUUUGUAAUGUUCUUUUUCCGAAUUAUGUAAUAUAUUUUAAUUAUGAAUCAAAUAUAAUAUUUUUAUUGAAGUUAAAUAUUUUUUAAUAUGUUCAUAUUUUUUAUUUAUUUAAAUUAAGUAUAAUUAUAUAAUCAUAAGACUUUUGUAAUUAUAUUAUAAAUUGAAACAAAUAUUAUAUAAAGAAAUAUAAGAUUUGACGGGACCCAUUUGUAAGUGGAAGUGGGCUUCUGCAUUGGAGUAGUGUGACCACUUUUUUUUAAAGUCCACUUGAUGCUUAUGUGGCAUUAAAAAUGACCCACAUGUAAGUGGACUUGGGCUCCCCCACUGGGAUGCUCGAACCAUCUAACCAUCUUCUGAUUCAUCACCAUCCACAGCCUUUCUUCUUUGGUCAAAACCUUCCCUUAUGCUAUGAGAAACUCAAAAUGAUCUUAUUUAUAGUCAAAAUCAUUACUGCACUUUCCCUUGUUUCAGUUUUUGACACUUACUAGAAAAAUGACAAGUUAUUCCAUACUUUCGAUCAGUAUUCGAAAUUAGAUCUAUGAAACGGAUUUUUCCCUUAUAUGUGAUCUUUAAUGAAUGACUUGGCAGCUACAAUAUUAUCGUGAACUUGAGUUCUGAAAUUUUAUUGACGAGAAACUAAGUGCUCAUCCAGCUCAUCUUGGUAUUUUUACAUGGUGUAGUUUAUAUAGUGUCUACUAUCUAUUCAUCUUGUCCACCUUUUUAUGAGCCACAAGUGUAAUAAACUUCUUCUUAUUUUUUUUAUUUAUUUUUUUUGCUAUCGCUUCCACUAGAACUCAACUUAAAGGUUUUUAGAAAGUUAUAUAAUUUCUCCGAAUUUAUUGUAGUAUUUUUAUAAAUGUCUCCUGAAAAUUGUCAUGAGUUUCAACUGUUUUGGAUAAGAAUCUUAAGAACUUCAAAAAUAUGAGUAUUUUUUGUCGAUCACACCCUUUCAUGUAGAUUAAUAUUAUUCAAUAAUUUCUGGAAUUCACAAUAUUUAUAAUAAAGUAUCCAAAUUGUCAUAAAAUAUAAUAAAUUAUUCCACCGUGGGUUUUUAGAUAUUCGAAAAAAAAAUAUAGACACUAUCACGGGAUUAACUAAAUACUUGUUAUUGCUUAAAAAAAAAACUAAAUACUUGAUAACUUACGUGUCUAUAAUUUUUAUUUGUAAUAUCUUUCAAACCAGUGAUUUUAUACGCUUAAAGAUACUCUAAAUAAAUAAUAAAUUACAAUCAAAAGUCAAAACAUGAGAUAAUUGCUGAAAGAUAAAUUAUGUAUUAAUACCAGUUAAAUAUUCAAAAAAACAAUCUCGGCGUAUAUACAUAAGCACCGGAUAAACACACUACCGCACAUUUACAGGAUGAUUAUGAGUUAUGACCCCUGUUUUUUUUUAUCCAUCAUAUAUAAUUAUCAUUGUUCUGUUUAUAAAAUUUAUCUCUUGUAUAUUUCUAUAAUGAUGAAAUUUUCACCUUCCAUUCUCCUAGCCAAUUAAAAGGUGGUUCUCAUUUCAUCAGCAACAAGACAAUAAAACUUAAAGGACCAACAUGAAUCAAGCCUCACCACUGGACCUUAACAGAAACAAUCUCGCCUCUCAAUAUAUAAGUACAUUUUUGUAGAUGCUGAUCAACAAACAAAACACAUUAGCAUCGUAAAGAUCCCCAGAACAUGGCAGCUCUUGUAUCCAACAAAACAAUAAUGAUUGUGACGGCCCUUGCGCUGUUGAUCGCAAACAUAGUGGUCAUGGCCGCUGCAGCGAAUCAACAGCAGUCCGGGGAAAAUUCUUUUAAGGUCGGACCACCUCUCUAUAGGGCCUCUAGGAAUUAAGAACUCGGGAUACGGCUUUGCAGGAAGAAUGUAUACACAUGCAUAUAAAUAUGUACAUUGAUUCGUAAAUUUGUGUGUUCUUUUUUAUCACUAUUUGUUCAGCUAUCUGAAUUUCAUUGUAGAGGAAAUGAAAUGCAGAUGGUGUUUUUUUUUGUUGAUUUGGUACCACAAUUGGCUUGAUGUUUUUGUUUCUGUUUGGGCUUAAUAGAAACAAAUGUGUAUUUGAGAAAUUUGUAUGAAUUAAUUGGCUAUUAUUAAAUCAGACAAAAUUUGAGAUUAUAAUGAUAUUUAGCAUAAUUUUCAGUAGAUUGUGAUGGCUUUACUAUUUCCUGGAAAUUAAAUUAAACAUAAUUUUGUUGACAAUAUGCAGUUAUGCACUGUGUAAAUGACUUGAGGAAAUUUUGGUUGCAAAUAUAUGGAAUAUGGAUCAGGGUUGCGGUGUUUAAGGUUCUGUCAUAUAUUUCAUGUGUGUUUUUCUUUCGUUUCGUGUACAUGAUAAGCAAUUGGGAUAAUUCCGUGUAAUUUCAUAUCGUGUCGUGUUUUGAGAUAAUUGUGUCUAUGAUUACAUUUCAUGUUAAGACCAAACGACACGAACGAAUUGCCCGAUCUACAAAAAACAUAGAAACACGCAAACUUACGAACAAAACCACCAAGACACAUGACUCAAACUGCCAAUAUGCAGUCAUCAGUCAAUAAGAAGCAAGUCCCUGUAUAACCUCUUGAAAAAUUGUAAAAUUUAGAAGAGGAAACUGUCUCCAUUAAAGCACUGACAUUAACCGCUUAAAGCAUAAUCACUUUGAAAUUUAGCAAUUACUGCAUCAUGUAGAUUUUUUGACAAAUAUCGUGACGAAAAGAUAAUUAAGCAAAAGAUUCACAAAAAGAUGAUCAGACAGUGAUAAAACACAGAGAUAACAAUGUAGGCCACAUUGUUUCCUAUAUUGCGUAACUACGAAAAACAAGGAAAUCAAUAGCAAUAAUACUGGAACUUGGAACCUAUCUUAUCUGCUUUGUUGUGUUUUUAAACCAAACUCUUCUUAGAUCGCCACUGGACCUCCAUUAUACCUAUUCGAAUCAAUCUAACUAGAUAAAUGGACACCAUCUCCACCUGGGGAAAAAAAUCCAAGUGAGAACUAUAUGAUAUGCCUGUCCAAUAUACAGAAUGAGUAAGAGACACAGAAUUUGCAAUGACGCCUCAACCCAAAAACAAGAUCAAAAACAAAUAAAAAGCUGAUUUAUAAGGAAUUUGUUUGGUAUUUAGGUCAUAAUAUCAACUUGACUUUACAUUAUUACAUACAGCAUGCCGAGGAUCUUUGCGGAUAUCAAAGGUUAGUGAGUGGAAACACAGAGAUGGAAUAGAAUAGAAAAUAAACAGAGAGAGAGAGAGAAUAUUAAAGGAGAUUUGAUUCGUUAAUUAUCAUUUGCAUAGCCAUUACAUACCUACACCAAGAUAGUUCCAUCACACACCUAUUACAAAACUCGAGUGUAAUGUUGAUAACCACUGAUAAUUUAAGAUGCGCCUAACUUGCUGGAGAAAAUAUAACGGAAAAAUCCCAGUACAGGGUUCAAUUUGAAGAUCUACUUGUUUUAAUAUGCCCCAUCUUUCUGCCAAGAAGCUUCAGCUAGAUUAUUGAGUCUUCUACUCACUUGAAAAUUUAGUUGCACUGCACGAACACUAAUUGCUUCUAAGUGCAACACAACAAAUUUGUUUAAAUUAGAAGUUGAUUCCUAUUGUCUUACUGAAGUAUGAGUUAAACUAUAUUAUAAAAAAAAAGCAUCAUUACAGUGCUUUUAGUUUUGCUUAUUUUCUGCUCAUUAUCUGAUUAUUAAUGUUCAUUUCUUGUGAUUUUGUAAUUCUGAAAUUUGUUUGAAACAUAGGUUGCAGCAAAAAGUAGAAGACAGGCAGUAAAUGAAUGGGUCUCAAUAUCGUGGAAGACAGCGAUGAUAAGGUAAUUUUGAUAUGUUCAAUGGAUAGUGAAUAAGGCGUUGUAAUAGGUUAGUUUAUAAAUGUUUUGUUACUGUUUAUUGUACGGCCGUACGGGAAGUACUUGUUUUAGAUCCUGAUUUGGCUAAAGGCUACCUUGAUCGAAUUCAAGACCGGACUAAAGGGUGGAGAUGUUCUUACGACUAAGCAUUUAGACCAGAAUCGAAGAAUCUGGUUUGAUUCUGAACUGAUUAUGUUUUUUCACCCUUUUUUAUUCGUGCUAAAGUUUGUAGGGUGUAAGGUUUAUAUCUGAUGACAUUGUGUAAAAAAAUUUAAGUGUAAUAGAUUGCUGUUUCUAGCUCUUGUUAUAUGGAUGAUUCAAUGUAAACUUUUGGUUUGUCAAAUCACAUGCUCUGGACUAGUUUAAUCAUAAUUUAUGUUUCUUGGAACGGGUGACACAUCCUCCUUUGAUGCUAAGAAUAAGGUUAUGGAACAGCUUAUCUUCUCCAAUUAACCCUUACUCUGAAAAUUCGGAUCAAUUCUAAUCUGUGUCGCAAACAUGCUUGUCAAUUAAACUACUACUCUGGUCCUUACUCCCAAUGAUUAUGUUUUUUAUGUUUUAGGUUCCCUGCACCUAAUAUUGUAUCUAAAUCUAUGAGAUGUAGCCAGAAAUACGUCAACGUUUAAUGAGUUCAUAACUUACCAAAAAUAUUUGGAAAUUGUAGACCCAAACAAUUUACCAAAAAAUAAUUGAAAUUCUAGACGACAAUGAAACUAUCCCUGAACAUAUUCGACGGUACAUGUUUGAUGAUCAGAAGUCAGAACAUAUGCACAAGACAUAUACUAUAUGGCAUUUGAUAUUAUUGAGUGUUUACAGUUUCUUUACAAAUCUAUGGCCCAUUAAAUUGACUAUCCACUUCAAUCUAGGAUGUCUAAAUGAGAAAUAUUUCUUCUACAGUUUCAGGAGUCAUUCAAGGCCUCAACGCUACGAUUAGGUAACUGAAAUUCUAUCAAACAAUUAUUGCCUGUCCUUGGGCUUUUAACACCACAGAACUACUAUAGGAAAUGGUCAUAAUAUCCAUAUUUAUGUCUUUGCUUUGAAAAAAUAGAAACGUAACGAAAGAUAUCAAUAUAAGGUUAAUAUUUGCAAUUCCUAAUAAAGCAAAUCAUAUGUCUGGAUUUCAUAUAUUGUGUUAAAAAGUAAUCCUCCUGCACCAAUUAACCUUAUUCCGGUGCUUAUUCUUUCAACUUGUAACUAAAAGUUAAAUUUCUAUUGCAUUAUUGACAAUUUAAGCUAAACUAUAUCACAAAAAACGCAUUAUUGCGGCGACCACAAUAGAGUAGGAAAAAUAAGAGAAGCAUUCAAAUCAUUCAUCUUUUUCGCUUAAUUUGAAUUACCUGUGGCACGAGAGAGUUUCACUUUUUAGUCUUCUUCUUUGCGACUGCAGAAUUGUCCUUUUUAGGUCUGCGUUUCCGAGUAAAAGCAAACUCUCCAAACUUGUGACCGACCUUCCCUUCAGUAAUUUUACAUUUAACAUGAGUUUUCCCAUUGUAGAUCCUCACGAAGGAAUCAACAAAUUCCGGCAAAAUAGUGGACCUUCGCGACCAAAUCUUCCUGUUUGCCAGUUUUCCCCCCUUCUGCAUCAUUUUCAUAAGAAAGGCAUCGACAAACGGCUCCUUCCACACCGAUCGCGGUCCCCUCACAAUUUCACUACUUGCUUGGUCCGCAAGUCCGUUAUCCUAAAAUCAUAACCAUCAUUAACAACCACUAACCAGUACCUCAACACACAUACAAACAGUGCCUUGAAAAAGCGGGAAUCAGACUUGAUCAGUAAACACAUUUAAAUCAGUAAUCAAUUAAAUUGAUCGAAGAUUAAUCGAAUGAUUAAUUGAAUAAUCAGAGAUUGAAUCAGUUCGGCGAGCCGCAGAACAGAAAUUAAUCGACUAAUCACCGACUUUUAAAACAGUGCAUACAAACAGCUAUCGGUAGUAUAAAUUGCAUAGCUAAAUCGAAAACAGACACAUAAUCAUCCUAUAGAUACAUAUAUAGAUACAAUUAAGGAAGAAUAGAAAAGAGGGGGAGAGGAACAUACAGAUAAGUAGUUUUGAGAUUGAAAAAAGAUGGGCUGCUUGGGUUGGUAGCAGAGAGUGCGGCGGAAGAGAUUAGUGGGAUUUAGGGUUUGUAAUCGGCCACUCAGAUGCGCCAUCAGUUUAGUGCUACUGCCUGCCAUUGUUACACACACCGAAUGAGAAACUAUUAGGAAAUUUGUACUGUGCUGAGCUUUCUUCUGAGUUCUUCCCCCA